rnacentral:misc_RNA from 1 species
AGCAAAGCCUCUCCAUGGCCUCUA